AUUGAACGCUGGCGGCAUGCCUUACACAUGCAAGUCGAACGGUAACGCGGGGCAACCUGGCGACGAGUGGCGAACGGGUGAGUAAAGUAUCGGAACGUGCCCAAUAGUGGGGGAUAGCCCGGCGAAAGCCGGAUUAAUACCGCAUGAGACCUGGGGGUGAAAGCGGGGGACUCGCAAGGGCCUCGCGCUAAUGGAGCGGCCGAUAUCAGAUUAGGUAGUGGGUGGGGUAAAGGCCUACCAAGCCGACGAUCUGUAGCUGGUCUGAGAGGACGACCAGCCACACUGGGACUGAGACACGGCCCAGACUCCUACGGGAGGCGGCAGUGGGGAAUUUUGGACAAUGGGCGCAAGCCUGAUCCAGCCAUGCCGCGUGCGGGAAGAAGACCUUCGGGUUGUAAACCGCUUUUGUCUGGGAAGAAAUCCUCUGGGCUAAUACCCUGGGGGGAUGACGGUGCCUGAAGAAUAAGCACCGGCUAACUACGUGCCAGCAGCCGCCGUAACAC
rnacentral:rRNA from 1 species